rnacentral:rRNA from 1 species
CGGCGAGCGAAGCGGGAAGAGCUCAAAUUUAUAAUCUGGCACCUUCGGUGUCCGAGUUGUAAUCUCUAGAAAUGUUUUCCGCGUUGGACCGCACACAAGUCUGUUGGAAUACAGCGGCAUAGUGGUGAGACCCCCGUAUAUGGUGCGGACGCCCAGCGCUUUGUGAUACAUUUUCGAAGAGUCGAGUUGUUUGGGAAUGCAGCUCAAAUUGGGUGGUAAAUUCCAUCUAAAGCUAAAUAUUGGCGAGAGACCGAUAGCGAACAAGUACCGUGAGGGAAAGAUGAAAAGCACUUUGGAAAGAGAGUUAACAGUACGUGAAAUUGUUGGAAGGGAAACGCUUGAAGUCAGACUUGCUUGCCGAGCAAUCGGUUUGCAGGCCAGCAUCAGUUUUCCGGGAUGGAUAAUGGUAGAGAGAAGGUAGCAGUUUCGGCUGUGUUAUAGCUCUCUGCUGGAUACAUCUUGGGGGACUGAGGAACGCAGUGUGCCUUUGGCGGGGGUUUCGACCUCUUCACACUUAGGAUGCUGG